AUUGAACGCUGGCGGCAUGCUUUACACAUGCAAGUCGGACGAGUGGCGAACGGGUGAGUAAUAUAUUGGAACGUACCGAGUAAUGGGGUAUAACCAAUCGAAAGAUUGGCUAAUACCGCAUAUUAUUCGAGCGGCCCAUAUCUGAUUAGCUAUUUGGUGGGGUAAAGUCCUACCAAGGCACAGAUCCGUAGCUGGUCUGAGAGGAUGACCCGCCAAACUGGGCUGGAGACACGGCCCAUACUCCGACGGGAGGCAGCAGUGGGGAAUUUUGGACAUUGGGCGCAAGCCGGAUCCAGCCAUGCCGCGUGUCUGAAGAAGGCCUUCGGGUUGUAAAGGACUUUUGUUAGGGAAGCGGUACCUAAAGAAUAAGCACCGGCUAACUACGUGCCAGCAGCCGCGGUAAUUC
rnacentral:rRNA from 1 species